GCCUUGCCUCCCCCGCCCUUUCUCCCGUCCCCGCCACCCGAGGUCCACUGCGGGACGAGGUGGCCGUCUCCACCCGGGCCCUGGACGGACGGCCUUCUCGACCGAUCGCUCGCGGGCUCUCCGGGCCAAGUCCUGGUGGGGGCUCAGGGAGAGAGGGAGGGGGAGGGGAGAAGGAGGAGGAGGAUCCCUGACUCAGAAGAGGUGACUCAGCCUCUGUGGGCCUCCCAUCCCACGGAGUCGGAUCCCCUUCACUCCCCUGCAGAUCCCUUUUACUCCCCUGCAGCGCAGCGCGGGGCAGAACCCGCCUGGGAUGUGGCGUUCCUCUCCCACUAGGGAACCCGCGUGGCAACUGCCUUCCGGGAAUCAUCCCAGCUUGCUGUCCCCUGGGUGUGCGUGUGCCCCAGUACCUACGUGCCUCUGUGACCAUGACAGUAGUGUAACAGCAAAGGAAUCCUGCAGGGGUUGGACCUGUAUAAAGGUGUUUACUAUACACAAGGACACACCGUGGUGUGUGCAGCCAGAUUCAAAGGGGUCACAGAGGUCAUGGCUCAAAGCCAAGCUAAACCCUGCCCCUCCCCUCCAGCAGCAUGUUACAACUCAAAAAGCCAGUUCCACCAGGACAGCUCCCUCCUAUCCAAGCGUUUGGCAGCCACAGAGCACUCUGGAAAAGAGAGGGCCUGGGUUCCGAUCUAGUUCUGCUACUGGUUCAGCAAGUACUCUUGGCCAGCUGCUGCCAUGCUCUAGGCUUUAGUGCGGAAACCAUGAAAGAAAGGAUAGAUUGAGACUAACCCUGUCCCCGGGCCCCAGUUGGUGAGGAAGGCCUGGGACUGAUGGCAGCAGCUCAUACAUGCUCACCAAAGACGGCUCCCACGGUUCUACAAUGGUAACCCAUGUGACCCUCACUCCUGGCCAUCACCCAGGCGUGCUCAGGCCCUCUUUCAUUCUUCCAACCAUCUUGCACACCUACUAUGUGUAGGUCACUGUUCUGGGCCAUAGUGCUGGACAUCCUGAAACUGUGAAGCCAAGCCACCUAGAUGUGGUCUGAGGCCCCUGUCAUCUACCCUCUCCACACACUGCAGUUGUAUUAAUGUUAUCUUUAGUGUGUGUGUGUGUGUGUGUGUGUGUGUGUGUGUGUGUGUGUGUACCAUCUCUGCUCAGCUUGUCCCACACCCCCUCCCCAACCCCUGUCUUUCAAGUAACACUAGAUCCUAUCCCAAACCUGGAACUCUGUAGGCUCUGCCCUCUCCCAGCUCUCCUUCGGGGAUCCAAGGCUCUGGCCUUUGCCCCACCACCAGCCAGGCCUUCUCUUGAGUGUAGACAAGUCCCUUCAUCCGGUGCUUCAAGAGUCAGUCCCAGGACCUUGCUGCCACCUGCUAUCCACUAGACUCAGGAGUGGGCAAGAGCAGAAAGACACUCACACCCUCCUCCAGAUGAGAGGUGGAAAACAGAUCCGCUCAAGCCAAGUGGGAAGGGCUCCCUCACAGACCCUAUAUCCUGGCCUCCCUCACCCAGGAAACCUCACACAGGUCCUUAGGAGGACGGCCUCUGAGCAAAUUGCUGACCCUCAAGAGUAUACACUAUUUGAGUUCAGUGUUCGUUUGAAUUAACGCCUGGAACAAUCUGCCAAACUCAGGAGUGACUUCAGAGGGACUUGCUCUGUGGGCACAUUUGUGGAAAGGGCCUCCCUCCACUGCCUGCCUCUCGGCAUUUUGCUUCCAAGAUAACCUUUCCUCUUCUGCCUCCUCAACCACAAGCUCCCAAGGCUGCAAAGCUAAGGCCCUCCCAUUUCUCACAGUUUAACUCUUUCCCAGACACCCCCUCUCCCUUCCCCAGACAUCACUGCCACCCCCGGCCUUCCCCUGGGGCAGAGCCUGGUUCCCAGCCUCCUUGGCCACGUGGAGCCUCUCACUUUCCCAGGAAAACCGAGGCUACUUCAGGACCAAAGCAGGAUGUUCCCAGACUUCAUUUUGGAUUCAUACCCAAAGGGCCCAACUCACUUCCGGUCAAUGGCAACAUGCUGAAAGUUGGGUAGCUUCUAGAAUGACGUUUGUUUCUAUUUCUGUUGUUUUUAUCAUUAUUUUCUGUGAUUAUUUUCUAUCCCUACUAUUAGUACUCUCCAGUUUGCAGAAUACUUGGUUUCACAGCAUCGUUUGAGUUAACGUCACUCCUCUCCCCAAUUUAUAAAUAAGUAGUCAAGGCCUGGCUGGAGUGGUGAGUGAUUUGGCCAAGGUCACUCUACACAGUUAUGCGGGCUCUCUGGACCAGGUCCCUUCCACUUUCCCCACACCAUUUCUCCAGAGAAAUGACAAACAAGAGACCGCGUGGGGACUGAAAAGAAUGCAUGCUUCUCCAGGCAUCACUGAAAUCACGACCCUGUUACUUUUCUGCUUCCAUUCCCCAAGCAGGGAAAUUGAGGCAUGGGAUUGAUUCACUCCCACCAUGUAUCAUGAAAGCCUCCAUAGAGAAACAUCAGGGAUGGUGGUGAGAAAGGCCGUCGCCAUCGUCGUCGUCAGAUGUGAAUUAGUCAGCUUCCAGCCCUGGUUCUGGCUCCCCCUGCUGUUUAACAUGCACAGGUGGUCUGACCUAGCUGAGCCUCUGUUUAAUCACCUCUAAGGUGAGAGGAACCCCUGCUGCACAUCUGUUCCUGGGUCGCUGUGAUGGGAGUUCAGCAGAGGCUCGCAGAGGAGGGAGGACAGAGUACUGGAACUCCCCCCCUGCUCUGCCUAAGGAGGAGGAGAAAGUCUUUUCUCUUAAAUUUUAAAGAUAAGGGGACUUGAAGGUGUAGAAGUCCAAGAUCUAAGAAAGCCAGGACACAGGGAGAAAGCAGAGCACACAGCAUCAGCUCCAGGCCUCCAAGAUGACUGAAGGGUCAGAGACUCCACCAAACAUCACACAGGACUCCUCCAAACACCCUUUGACCUUUCAGAGGAGGAACUCAGGCCCCAAGCAAAGCAGAAUUUGCCAAAGCUACCCCCAGUAAGCAGUGAUGCUUCCUCCGAGGCAAGCCCUGGACACCAGAGAAGGAAGAACUGGGGAGUGUGACCUUGAAUUCACAAUGGUCCAAUGGGUAAGGACAACACACAAGCCAGCACAUCAGAGGGUGUCAUAGAUCAACCACUCUGCCACUUGCCGAGCACUUCCCCGAGCCUGGCACUAGACACACAUUCAUGUGCUUAAUCCCCGAAACAAUUCUCUGGCCCUGAAAUUACUAAUCCCUUUCACAGCUGAAGUGACUGAGGCUCAGAGGUUUGGUGUCUUUCCAAAGCUCACCCCGCUGAUAAAUGGCGGGACUAGAAUGUGAUGGCCAGAGCCAGCUGAUGCUAAGCCUGGAGCUUCAGCCCUCACAGACUGGCUCCCCCCAGCCUUUAGGUCUGUGCUAGUCAACACUGGAGCCGCUGGCCACAGGUGGCUAUCAACUACCCGAAAUAAACAAACGGAAACGUGCAGUAAAUGUAAGACAAAUGGUGGGUUUUGAAGUCUGAGUACUAAAAUUAAAGAGAAUGUUAUGUAUUUCAGUCAUUCUUGUAUUAAUAUUAUGAGAUCAGGCAUGCUGGUAUGGGAUCCCAGCACUUGAGAGAUGGAGGCAGAAGAAUCGGGAGUUCAAGGCUAGCCCUAGCUACUACCCCAAAAUAAUUAAUUAAUUAAAAAUUACAGAUGUAUCAGAUUAAAUAAAAUCUCAUUAGAAUAAUGUCGUGUGUGUGUGUGUGUGUGUGUGUGUGUGUGUGUGUGUGUGUGUGUGUUGCUAGGAACCCAACCCAGGAUCUUGGGCAUGCUAGACAACUCUGUCCCUAAGCUAUAACGCCAGUCCUGGCUUUGUGUGUAUGUUGUAUGUUUCUGGCUUUGUGUGUAUGUUGUAUGUUCCUGGCUUUGUGUGCAUGUUGUAUGUUCGUAUGCAUGUGUGGGUGUGCAUGUAUAUGAGUGCCUGUGGAAUAGAUCAGGUGCUCUCCACCUGAUCUUUUUGAGACAAGGUCUUUUCACUGAACCCAGUGUUUGGACUAACCAGGCUGGCCUCAGAAUCACAGGGAUCCACCUCCCUCUGCCUCCCACAUGCUGGAACUAAAGGUGUGCGCCACCAUACCCAAUCUGGUUCUGUUUUGUUUGGCGUUUUUGUUGUUGUUGUUGUUGUUUUGACAUUAAGUCUUGCUAUGCUGCCCAGCAGACUGGAGUUGAACUCCUGGACUCAAGGGACCCGCCCACCUCAGCUUCUCAAGCGCUGGGACUAAAAGCACAAAGCACGCACAAGCUGCUUUUUUGUCUUUUUAAUUGCGUUUAUGACUUGCACGUGUGGCUCACACUGUGUUUCCUUUGGUCAGUAUGGACUUUGAUACUCUGCAGUCCUUACGGAGCCCACGGAGAUGAGAAAAGGUAUCUUGGAGGAGGGGGCGGCUAAGACACACUGGAUUAAAACAGAGGUCUCACGAGGAGGGUAUUUCAGGGCAAGAGAUCUGCAAGACAUCCGGCUCUGGCCCCAGAGGGCAGCAGGGCCUGGGUGGGCUGAGCUAAGCCCCAGGCAGCUGAGAGCUGGGCCAGAGGGAGGAAGCUACUGAGGCCAAACUUUCCAAAGCAGCAUGUCGUGUCCCUGUGGGCUUGGGAAGCUCAGCCUGGCAAGGCUGCUCUCCCUCACUGCUGGCACUCACAGACGGCACUGCGGGGCAGCUGGGUCCGAGCAAGCGAGCGGAAGGAGAAGGCAGGGUUAGAUGAACAACAGCACAAACAGGCAGGGGCCCUCCCCUGCUAGCUGCUCCCUACCUUCUUCCCUCUCCACUCCACCAGGAAGCCUCCCCAAAAUGCAAUCCCCAAGGGUCUCACCUCCCCUUGAACCUUGGCCUAGAUUGGGAACUGCAUGCUCCCACACAGAGUCUUUGUAGACUGCCACUGAUGCCCCGAAGCUCACGGCAGCCCAUGAGUAUAAAGCACUAACUAGUCCACAGCUAGUGUAGCAUGGUGAAGAGCGAAGCUACCCCAGUGAAGGGCUAGUACAAGAUGGAGGCACUCCUCGGUACAGGAGCUCCAUGACCUUGGCAAAGCUUGACCCCAAACCUGGGGGUGCUAUGGGCACUGCCUCUUAGCACUGCUACAGGAUGACAAGGCCCCCACUAAGGGGGCCUGGCAGCUCAAAUGCUCUCCCCUACCACAAGUGAGCACCUCAGCUACCUCUCAUUACCCUUGGUCUCUCCCAAGUCUACAUAUGCUCAAGAUUGCAUUCCUUCCAAGGAAAGCCACCCCACCCUCACCCCCGCACUCCCUCUCUGCUUCCUCCAUCCAUGCCCCACCCAGCCUAGCACGCCUUCUCUGCCUGCCACAUCCUUGCCUCCUUCUAUCUCACUUCUGAUUCCAGGCUCGGUUGUCAAAGAGGCACCCUGGCUUCACAACCCUGCCUCCUCUCACGGGCAGGAAGCUUGCCCCCCACUGCCAUCUGCAUACCCACAACCAAGCCCUGGACAGAGCUGGGCAUCCCCAGGGCAUGCACAACUGACUACUAUUGCUGAUCUCCAGGGGCACAUCAAAGGGCAGACUCUGCUCACCUUCCCAGUGAAGAGCCUUUAGCAGCACCUCAGCCUCUGAUGAAAGAACUCACUUCAGCUUGACUCUCGAGACCUUUGCCAGCCUGCCCUCUCCUUGGUGCCUCAGCUUCAGUCUCAGAACCUACCUGAUGGGCUCUGUCACACUGAUGGUUCUGGGUCCCCAGGGUACAGUAGCUCGGCCACAAGCUUGCUUUCACACGUGUUUUUUCCUCUGCCUGGACGAACUUUCCCUUUCCCAUGGUCAUUCUUCUAGUCAUGGCCCAGGAAGUCCUUCCUCAUGCCCUCCUCUCUGCAACAACCCCCUACAGCUAGACACAACAUUGGCCUUUCCCCCUCCAACCAGCACUGCCCACUGGCCCUGGCUUAUGUGACUUGCAGAAAGCCCUUAACCUCCUGAUGCACCAUAGCUUUAUGAGAGAAGCUACUUUGCAUCUUCCAAACCAGGAGGGUCCUUCUUGGUGGUCAUAUGAGCAUAGUAUGGUCACCUUCACCCCAGAGCCAGAGGUCCAGAAGCAAGGGGAGUCAGGAGUUCACCAGAAUGUCAGGACACCCUGAGGAUGAAUUCUGCCAUCUCAAUUUCACCUUGGCUACAGUUCCUUCGGGAGGCUCCAUGCAUACUUCCAGUCACUGCCUGGGAAAUCUGCCCUCCUCUAGGAGUCUGGGAACCAUGCUAUGGGGCCUGAAUAUGAAAAAUGUGGCCAAGUUCCCACUGGAUACAGACUGCCACCCUGCCUGCCAUCAGGAGCCUGAAGCGUCAGCUGAGGUUUUGUUGUGGUGGCAUCACAGGUUCCUUGCAGUCAGAGGAGAUCUCAGAGAACAUCACACAGAAGCUAUGAGGAGGGGGGGAGCGAUGGGAGAAAAGCUGUCCGUUUGCCUGUG